rnacentral:rRNA from 1 species
CACGUAGGGCGCAAGCGUUGUCCGGAUUUACUGGGCGUAAAGGGCGCGCAGGCGGCAUGUCAAGUAAGGUGUGAAAUCUCCCUGCUCAACGGGGAGGGUGCAUUUUAGACUGGCAAGCUAGAGGACGGUAGAGGGGGGUAGAAUUGCUGGUGUAGCGGUGAAAUGCGUAGAGAUCAGCAGGAAUACCCGUGGCGAAGGCGGCCCCCUGGGCCGAACCUGACGCUGAGGCGCGAAGGCUAGGGGAGCGAACGGG